CACCCCUUCUGGUGUGAUGAGGCUGCAUGGCCAUCCUAGGUGGAAUCAACCACACUCAGCUCUGUGGAAGAAGGAAUACCCAAUACUGUUCCCCAGAGCCGCCUGCAGCAACUGACACCUGCCCCACCUCAGCUACCGCUCCACCUGCUCAGGCCUGCCUCCAGAGUUGUCAAGAGACAUGGAAGAGAACAAGCAGCUACAGAAGGAAUCCAAAUUUAAAGAAAAGUUAAAAGAAAACAAGAUAGAGCCCUCUCUGCAGCCUGGCCCAUUAGGGUGUAAAAGCAUCUGAGGUCGGAAUUCUGACUAACGCUUCAACUUCCACGGAUAGGCAGCAAGCCAAAGGGAUCCUUGUUUUCAUAGAAAGUCUUCCCCGAACCCAAGUGGACACCCAAUUCAGAGACCAUGAAGUGAAACUGAUGUAGAAACUCCCUGGAAAGUUUCACUGGGGACAAACACUGGAUUAUUAAGAUUAGCCUGGGCCAUGAAAAUAUCCUACUAGAAGCAUUGUGAGCUGAAUCCAGGUGCCCUGGC
rnacentral:lncRNA from 1 species